GACGAACGCUGGCGGCGUGCUUAACACAUGCAAGUCGAGCGGUAAGGCCCUUCGGGUACACGAGCGGCGAACGGGUGAGUAACACGUGGGUGACCUGCCCUUAGCUCUGGGAUAAAGCCUGGGAAACUAGGGUCUAAUAACCGGAUAUGACCUCAUGACGCAUGCUGUGGGGUGGAAAGCCUUGUGCGGCUAGGGAUGGGGCCCGCGGCCUAUCAGCUUGUUGGUGGGGUGAUGGCCUACCAAGG
rnacentral:rRNA from 1 species